GAUUACUGGGCGUAAAGCGCACGCAGGCGGUUUGUUAAGUCAGAUGUGAAAUCCCCGGGCUCAACCUGGGAACUGCAUCUGAUACUGGCAAGCUUGAGUCUCGUAGAGGGGGGUAGAAUUCCUGGUGUAGCGGUGAAAUGCGUAGAGAUCUGGAGGAAUACCGGUGGCGAAGGCGGCCCCCUGGACGAAGACUGACGCUCAGGUGCGAAAGCGUGGGGAGCAAACAGGAUUAGAA
rnacentral:rRNA from 1 species